CCUGGCGGCGGCCUACACAUGCAAGUCGAGCGGUUGACGGGAGCUUGCUCCCUGAUUCAGCGGCGGACGGGUGAGUAAUGCCUAGGAAUCUGCCUAUUAGUGGGGGACAACGUUUCGAAAGGAACGCUAAUACCGCAUACGUCCUACGGGAGAAAGCAGGGGACCUUCGGGCCUUGCGCUAAUAGAUGAGCCUAGGUCGGAUUAGCUAGUUGGUGGGGUAAUGGCUCACCAAGGCGACGAUCCGUAACUGGUCUGAGAGGAUGAUCAGUCACACUGGAACUGAGACACGGUCCAGACUCCUACGGGAGGCAGCAGUGGGGAAUAUUGGACAAUGGGCGAAAGCCUGAUCCAGCCAUGCCGCGUGUGUGAAGAAGGUCUUCGGAUUGUAAAGCACUUUAAGUUGGGAGGAAGGGCAGUAAAUUAAUACUUUGCUGUUUUGACGUUACCGACAGAAUAAGCACCGGCUAACUCUGUGCCAGCAGCCGCGGUAAU
rnacentral:rRNA from 1 species